AGAGUUUGAUCUGGCUCAGAACGAACGCUGGCGGCAGGCUUAACACAUGCAAGUCGAGCGCCCCGCAAGGGGAGCGGCAGACGGGUGAGUAACGCGUGGGAAUCUACCCAGCUCUACGGAAUAACCCAGGGAAACUUGGACUAAUACCGUAUACGUCCUUCGGGAGAAAGAUUUAUCGGAGUUGGAUGAGCCCGCGUCGGAUUAGCUAGUUGGUGGGGUAAUGGCCUACCAAGGCGACGAUCCGUAGCUGGUCUGAGAGGAUGAUCAGCCACACUGGGACUGAGACACGGCCCAGACUCCUACGGGAGGCAGCAGUGGGGAAUAUUGGACAAUGGGCGAAAGCCUGAUCCAGCCAUGCCGCGUGAGUGAUGAAGGCCCUAAGGGUUGUAAAGCUCUUUCACCGGUGAAGAUAAUGACGGUAACCGGAGAAGAAGCCCCGGCUAACUUCGUGCCAGCAGCCGCGGUAAUACGAAGGGGGCUAGCGUUGUUCGGAAUUACUGGGCGUAAAGCGCACGUAG
rnacentral:rRNA from 1 species